AGGUGGAGGAGAACAAGGGAAGAGAGAAAGAGAGUCAGUCUAUCUGUAAAAAUCUAGACAAUCGGUAGUCCUGAAAAAUCGCUUGUUACAGAUUGUCUUUUGCCAUUGUACGUAGAGUGUCUGCAACUCCCUAUACUUUUUCUUCCUCGUUGGCUCGAUGGAUCAGUUGAGAUUCCCGAUAAUUACGGAAUCUACAGACGAUUGAAAAAGACAACUUACUGUACUGGUUAUCUUUAGUGUUGUCUAUAUAUGACGUGGAUGAGUACUAUGGACAGGAUUUGUCUAGACUAUUGUACAUGCCCUAAGUAGUCGGCCGAAUGUAUCCAUGGGUGAGUGGUGGCAUGUACAUGGGCUCAUUGUGGGCAUUUUUUUAAGGGUUUUUUUUAUUUCCGUGCCCCUCAAAACUAAGUUGUGCUCUGUUUUGUCCAGGCCACAAAGCAAUGCUCGCUUCUACACUCGGCUCCUUGUUCGAGUUCUCUCUUUUGCCAUCACGGAGCACCUCCUGACGAUCAAACAGGCUUGACCGUUUGCUCCUGACGAGUGGGGCCCGAUUGUGCGCCGACGGGUGGGACCGAUGGUCGCUACUGACUUGUGGGCGCCAAGGAAGCCGAUGCAAUUUCUGACAUGCGGGCCGACGAAUAGCUUCCGACUGGUCGGGCGGGUCUCUUCCGACUGGUGGGGCAUAGGCAGCAUGUGUCCGUUUUCUUACAAGUUUACCGGUAAAAAACUGACAUGUCGGACGGGACUUGCUACAGUAUAUAUAUGCUGACAGGUAGGUCCUGUGGACUCAACUUACAGGUGGGACCAAGAAAUUGCCAUGUAGAUUAAUCUUACAUGUGGGCCAGCGUAUUACCCAUUCGUUCCCAAAUCCGGAUCCGGACCGAGCAGGAGCAGCU
rnacentral:lncRNA from 1 species